GUGCCAGCAGCCGCGGUAAAACGUAGGUGGCGAGCGUUAUCCGGAUUUACUGGGCGUAAAGGGUGUGCAGGCUGCCCCUCAAGUGGUGUAUGAAAGCACCCGGCUCAACCGGGUCAUGGUAUGCCAGACUGAAGGGCUAGAGAGCGAGAGCGGGACGUGGAAUUCCGGGUGUAGUGGUGAAAUGCGUAGAGAUCCGGAGGAACCCCAGAGGCGAAGGCGGCGUCCUGGCUCGCAUCUGACGCUCAGACACGACAGCAUGGGGAGCGAACGGGAUUAGAAACCCCGGUAGUCC
rnacentral:rRNA from 1 species